CUUUCCGUUCUUUCCGUUCUUUCCGUUCUUUCCGUUCUUUCCGUUCUUUCCGUUCUUUCCGUUCUUUCCGUUCUUUCCGUUCUUUCCGUUCUUUCCGUUCUUUCCGUUCUUUCCGUUGUUGUUUUUGAACUGUCACCUAAUUUUCUGCUCUAUGUUUCUGUCUCUGUGGAGGUUCUUUCCGUUCUUUCCGUUCUUUUUGUUGUUUUUGAACUGUCACCUAAUUUUCUGCGCUAUGUUUCUGUCUCUGUGGAGGUUCUUUUUGUUCUUUCCGUUGUUUCCGUUGUUGGUCUUGACAUGUCACUUAAUUUUCUGCCCUAUGUUUCUGUCUCUGUGGAGGUUCUUUCCGUUCUUUCCGUUGUUGUUUUUGAACUCUCACCUAAUUUUCUGCCGUAUGUUUCUGUCUCUGUGGAGGUUCUUUCCGUUCUUUCCGUUCUUUCCGUUCUUUCCGUUCUUUCCGUUCUUUCUGUUGUUGUUUUUGAACUCUCACCUAAUUUUCUGCUCUAUGUUUCUGUCUCUGUGGAGGUUCUUUCCGUUCUUUCCGUUCUUUCCGUUCUUUCCGAACUGUCACCUAAUUUUCUGCCCUAUGUUUCUCUCUCUGUGGAGGUUCUUUCCGUUCUUUCCGUUGUUUCCGUUGUUGGUCUUGACAUGUCACCUAAUUUUCUGCCCUAUGUUUCUGUCUCUGUGGAGGUUCUUUCCGUUCUUUCCGUUCGUUCUGUUGUUGUUUUUGAACUGUCACCUAAUUUUCUGCCCUAUGUUUCUGUCUCUGUGGAGGUUCUUUCCGUUCUUUCCGUUCUUUUUGUUGUUUUUGAACUGUCACCUAAUUUUCUGCCCUAUGUUUCUGUCUCUGUUGAGGUUCUGUCCGUUCUGUCCGUUCUGUCCGUUCUGUCCGUUCUGUCCGUUGUUGUUUUUGAACUGUCACCUAGUUCUCUGCCGUUUGUUUCUGUCUCUGUGGAGGUUCCUUCCGUUCUUUCCGUUCUUUCCGUUCUUUCCGUUCUUUCCGUUCUUUCCGUUCUUUCCGUUCUUUCCGUUCUUUCCGUUCUUUCCGUUCUUUCCGUUCUUUCCGUUCUUUCCGUUCUUUCCGUUCUUUCUGUUGUUGUUUUUGAACUGUCACCUAAUUUUCUGCCCUAUGUUUCUGUCUCUGUGGAGGUUCUUUCCGUUCUUUCCGUUCUUUCCGUUCUUUCUGUUGUUGUUUUUGAACUGUCACCUAAUUUUAUGCCCUAUGUUUCUGUCUCUGUGGAGGUUCUUUCCGUUCUUUCCGUUCUUUUCGUUCUUUCCGUUCUUUCCGUUCUUUCUGUUGUUGUUUUUGAACUGUCACCUAAUUUUCUGCCCUAUGUUUCUGUCUCUCUGGAGGUUCUUUCCGUUCUUUCCGUUCUUUCCGUUCUUUCUGUAGUUGUUUUUGAAAUGUCACCUAAUUUUCUGCCCUAUGUUUCUGUCUCUGUGGAGGUUUUUUCCCUUCUUUCCGUUCGUUCUGUUCUUUCCGUUCUUUCCGUUGUUGUUUUUGAACUGUCACCUAAUUUUCUGCCCUAUGUUUCUGUCUCUGUGGAGGUUCUUUCCGUUCUUUCCGUUCUUUCCGUUCUUUCUGUUGUUGUUUUUGAACUGUCACCUAAUUUUAUGCCCUAUGUUUCUGUCUCUGUGGAGGUUCUUUCCGUUCUUUCCGUUCUUUUCGUUCUUUCCGUUCUUUCCG
ensembl:lncRNA